rnacentral:miRNA from 1 species
UGGUGACGCCUGGAAUCAGGCAGGCGUAGCUGGACUGGGCUCUUGGGCCAGCCAGGCGCCACUGCCAUUGUCUACGGCCAUACCACC